AAUAAAUUUAUUUUUCGGUUUUUAGAUAUAAUGUUUUGACUAUUCGUUCUAUUUGAAUUUUUUUACGAUUAAUAUUUUUAUUGUUAGUAGAUGAUAAAACAUGAAUAAUACUUUACGCGUGACUAAUUUUUUUAAGUUUUUUUACAAAAUUUUCAAAUAAGAUGAAUAGUCAAAGCAUUAGAAACAGAAAUC
rnacentral:pre_miRNA from 1 species